UACAGAGGGUGCGAGCGUUGUUCGGAAUUAUUGGGCGUAAAGCGCGUGUAGGCGGCUCGUUAUGUCGGGUGUGAAAGCCCUCAGCUUAACUGAGGAAGUGCGCCCGAAACUGGCGAGCUUGAGUGCCGGAGAGGAUAGCGGAACACCCGGUGUAGAGGUGAAAAUUCGUAGAUAUCGGGUAGAACACCAGUGGCGAAGGCGGCUAUCUGGACGGUAACUGACGCUGAGACGCGAAAAGCGUGGGGAGCAAACAGG
rnacentral:rRNA from 1 species